CCUUUGACGUUAGCGGCGGACGGGUGAGUAACACGUGGGUAACCUACCUAUAAGACUGGGAUAACUUCGGGAAACCGGAGCUAAUACCGGAUAAUAUUUCGAACCGCAUGGUUCGAUAGUGAAAGGUGGUUUUGCUAUCACUUAUAGAUUGACCCGCGCCGUAUUAGCUAGUUGGUAAGGUAACGGCUUACCAAGGCGACGAUACGUAGCCGACCUGAGAGGGUGAUCGGCCACACUGGAACUGAGACACGGUCCAGACUCCUACGGGAGGCAGCAGUC
rnacentral:rRNA from 1 species